UACGUAGGGAGCAAGCGUUGUCCGGAAUCAUUGGGCGUAAAGCGCGCGUAGGCGGCCCUGUAAGUCUGCUGUGAAAGUCAAAGGCUCAACCUUUGAAAGCCGGUGGAUACUGCAGGGCUAGAGUCCGGAAGAGGCGAGUGGAAUUCCUGGUGUAGCGGUGGAAUGCGCAGAUAUCAGGAGGAACACCAAUAGCGAAGGCAGCUCGCUGGGACGGUACUGACGCUAAGGCGCGAAAGCGUGGGGAGCGAACAGG
rnacentral:rRNA from 1 species